AAAAAAAUUAAUUAAUAAUACUAAAAUAGUAAAUAAUAAUUUAUUGAAACUUAAAUAAUUUGGCGGUAUUUUAGUUCAUUUAGAGGAAUCUGUUUGGUAAUUGAUAAUCCACGAAUAAAUUUACUUAAUUUAAAAUUUUAUAUAUCGUUGUUAAAAAAAUAUUUAUAAAUAAAAAUAAUAUUUAAAAAUUUAUAUAAAAAAUUAAUUCAGAUCAAGAUGUAGAUUAUAAUUAAGACAUUAAUGGAUUACAAUAUAAUUAAAUAAAUGAAUAUUAUUUUGAAAUAUUUAAUUGAAGGUGGAUUUAAAUGUAAUUUUAUUUAAUUUAAUAAAAUGAUUAAAAAUUGAAAUAUGUACAUAUUGCCCGUCACUUUCAUUUAAAAAUUGGAAUAAGUCGUAACAAAGUAGAGGUACUGGAAAGUGUUUCUAGAAAGA
rnacentral:rRNA from 1 species